AUUGAACGCUGGCGGCAGGCCUAACACAUGCAAGUCGAGCGGGGUUUCGGACCUAGCGGCGGACGGGUGAGUAAUGCGUAGGAAGCUACCCGAUAGAGGGGGAUACCAGUUGGAAACGACUGUUAAUACCGCAUAAUGUCUACGGACCAAAGUGUGGGACCUUCGGGCCACAUGCUAUCGGAUGCGCCUACGUGGGAUUAGCUAGUUGGUGGGGUAAUGGCUCACCAAGGCGACGAUCCCUAGCUGGUUUGAGAGGAUGAUCAGCCACACUGGAACUGAGACACGGUCCAGACUCCUACGGGAGGCAGCAGUGGGGAAUAUUGGACAAUGGGCGCAAGCCUGAUCCAGCCAUGCCGCGUGUGUGAAGAAGGCCUUCGGGUUGUAAAGCACUUUCAGCGAGGAGGAAGGGAGUUGUGUUAAUAGCACAGCUUUUUGACGUUACUCGCAGGAGAAGCACCGGCUAACUCUGUGCCAGCCGCCGCAGUAAUAC
rnacentral:rRNA from 1 species